UGGCUCAGAGGUUAAAGCGUCUGCCUGGAAAUCAGGAGACCCGGGUUCGAUCCCUGG
rnacentral:tRNA from 1 species